rnacentral:misc_RNA from 1 species
GGAGUUCUUAUGUCCUUAGCAUGAAGCCUGAUGAAGGUCUGCCUACGUGUUUUAAGUGGAAUCCGUUUCCCCAUGUCCAAACCUUCUAUAUAGUUUUUUGUGUUAGUUCUUGUAUGCAACAUACAAAAAUUAACAAACUCUUUUGCCACAUAUGUUCCAGCACGUCAAAGCUACAUGUAUCUGAGCUACUUUAGACAAUUUGCAAAUCAUAAGGGUAAGUUUG